rnacentral:rRNA from 1 species
GAUGAACGCUGGCGGCGUGCUUAACACAUGCAAGUCGAACGGGAAUUAUUUUAUUGAAACUUCGGUCGAUUUAAUUUAAUUCUAGUGGCGGACGGGUGAGUAACGCGUGGGUAACCUGCCUUAUACAGGGGGAUAACAGUCAGAAAUGGCUGCUAAUACCGCAUAAGCGCACAGAGCUGCAUGGCUCAGUGUGAAAAACUCCGGUGGUAUAAGAUGGACCCGCGUUGGAUGAGCUUGUUGGCAGGGUAACGGCCUACCAAGGCGACGAUCCAUAGCCGGCCGGAGAGGGUGAACGGCCACAUUGGGACUGAGACACGGCCCAGACUCCUACGGGAGGCAGCAGUGGGGAAUAUUGCACAAUGGGGGAAACCCUGAUGCAGCGACGCCGCGUGAAGGAAGAAGUAUCUCGGUAUGUAAACUUCUAUCAGCAGGGAAGAUAGUGACGGUACCUGACUAAGAAGCCCCGGCUAACUACGUG